GAUGAACGCUGGCGGCGUGCCUAAUACAUGCAAGUCGAGCGAACGGACGAGAAGCUUGCUUUUCUGAUGUUAGCGGCGGACGGGUGAGUAACACGUGGAUAACCUACCUAUAAGACUGGGAUAACUUCGGGAAACCGGAGCUAAUACCGGUUAAUAUUUUGAACCGCAUGGUUCAAAAGUGAAAGACGGUCUUGCUGUCACUUAUAGAUGGAUCCGCGCUGCAUUAGCUAGUUGGUAAGGUAACGGCUUACCAAGGCAACGAUGCAUAGCCGACCUGAGAGGGUGAUCGGCCACACUGGAACUGAGACACGGUCCAGACUCCUACGGGAGGCAGCAGUAGGGAAUCUUCCGCAAUGGGCGAAAGCCUGACGGAGCAACGCCGCGUGAGUGAUGAAGGUCUUCGGAUCGUAAAACUCUGUUAUUAGGGAAGAACAUAUGUGUAAGUAACUGUGCACAUCUUGACGGUACCUAAUCAGAAAGCCACGGCUAACUACGUG
rnacentral:rRNA from 1 species